AGAAGGUAAAACUGAGUCAAGAAGAUGCAUUUGUUAGACUAUUGGUUCCGCUGCCUCUAACAGACACCUACAGUAUCAGUGGCUUAAACAAUAUCGAGGUUUAUUGCUCUCUUACUAAUAGGCUGAAGGUUGGCCAUCUAGGACUUACACAGUGGCUCCAUGAUGUCAGAGACUGAAGCUCCCCUUGUCUUACUGCUUCAUCAUUCCUAGGGGAUGGCCCUCAUCGGCAUGGUCGAGAUGUCCACAUCCUCGGCCCAGGCAGGAGAGAGAGGCAGAGCAUGCUGCCUCCCCAGAAGAUGCUCCCAGCGCUUAACCAACCACAGGAAAAGCUGGGAAAUGUUGUCUUUAUUUUGGGCAACCAGUAAAAGCAGAUUCUCUUAAGAGGGAGGAAGGGAACAGACUUUGGGGAACAACAAGUAGUCUCUCCAGCAUAUUCCUGGAAAAUAGAACAUUUCAGAGGGGGAGUGGGCGGGCCAGGGAGGGAGGAAUCAUUACCUCAUCCGAAGAACGACAUCUGGCUUAAAAAGUGUCUAAGUCACCAUCAAAAAGGCUGUGCUCCCCCUGGUUUUCCUUUAGAGGGGGAACACUCCCUGUCGCAGGAGCUCUUCCUCCUGGGACUCUGGGCCCAGUGUGUGAAGUGGCCGUGCAGUUACUGACCCGCCCCCAAUCAGAGCCGGCCCACAGCACCCUUAGGAUACGUGAGGACGGCAAACAAGAUUCUGGGCUGGGAGAAUGGUCAGGAACUGGAAGGAGGAGAUUCUUCCAGCAGCAAAGCUAAUUAAAAGGAAAAGCCUGUUUUCCAAGGGCGCCUCUUCAAUAUGCGAGCAUCCUGCCUUCUCACCAUUACCUGCCUCACUUGUCACCAAAAUGCAAUCCAUUCCUGGUCGCUUCCACCUUUAGACUUUGCACAUCCUUUCCUCAGUGCUCCUUCCUUUAUUCCUCCAGCUGCUUAAACCAUUUUCUCAAGCCUUUGAACAACACACAUACACUCUCCUUCCCCCACAUUCUUUUUUAAACAAAGAGAAUUCUGCUUUCUGUUACCAAAAAAAAAAAAAAAAAAAAAAACCCCCAAAGCCGGAGACAAUUCUGUCCUUUCGGUCCACAUGGUGAAUCUUUCUACCUGCAUGGAACUUAGCUUGAGUGGCAGGUCUACGCCAAGAAGCAGCACCCUGUCGCUGUCACGACGGGCAGAGCAGAGUUUUUCCCCUUAAUAAUGCUAUUUCUAACUGAAUGCCCAUUGCAGUUUUGAUACCAGCAGCGUGUGUUACUAGACAACAGUUCCUAGUUCUUUCCAGGCCGUUAGCAUGGCCGUGAGCAGGCGGGUUCCACCCACACCAGAACAGCCCUGGUGUGAAGUGAAGUGCUGUAUGGUUUACAGAGCGUUUCACAUGCAUGGUCUCGUUUCAGCCUCACGCUCACCCUGGCAGUAAAUAAAUAGCAAUAACAUCACCCCCAUUUUGGUGAUGAAAAAAACUGAGGCUGGGAGCAGUUAAGUGACUGCGAAUGAACUAAAACUGGGUCCAGUCUGUCUGUGUUGCUAAUGUAAGAUGUUGCAGAACUGUCUGUGGUUAAAAGAGAAGGAAUAUUUAUUUUUAACAGUGUUCUUUUCUUCUUGCCACAGUUCAAGAUUGUCCUAAAAUUUGAUUUGAUAGAAGUAUUUUCCCUAGUCCUCUAAGUCAGUCUUUGAAAUGCUUUUCUGCCUCUGGGUCUUGUUUUGCUUUGAGGCGUGGAUGGCAAACACGGAUCUCUCUUAUAUAAUCUCUAGGUCUUACAUUUUAGUUCUCUACCUGAACAUUUGUAAUGCCACUUUGAUUCUACCACAGUAAAGGAAAGCAAUCUCUCAUUUCUGCCGUUGAAACUUAGAUAUCUAAGAUUAAAGGAACUAUAUGUAAGUAUUGCUUAUCCAGAAGCCUUCUGAAUAUUUCCUUGCUAAUGGAAAUGCUGGAUGUUUUUAAGCAACAUUAUUUCUUACAAAACAAUUUGAAAAGGAAAAAAAAAAUCACACAAGGAUAACAGACUGUUUUUUAUAAGAAGAAGCUAGUUUUCACAAAAAGUAUUGUUAUCAGUUUAUAAGGCUGCUAGAGAAUGGAUUUUGUAUUGAAAAUAGCUAAGAGCAUAGUCAUUGUUUUAAAGAUGCUUUAGGAUGGGGAUAAAUGUUCAGUAUUUUUUUUAACAUGUACUGGCAUGUAUCUGGAUGAGGUUUUUUAAAGAAAAAUCACAAGUUUUAUAAAAUCUAAGAAACUUUAAAACUGUGUCAUUUAUAAUGUAAAAUUAAUGCAGUUGAAAUUCAGUGGUUGACUCAUAGCUCCCACAUUCAUCUUCAGUUCUCUUUAGCUCAUAUGGUUUUCUUUAAAAAUUAGUGAUAUCAGCUAAAUGGGACUCUUUCCCACUCCUACCCACAGAGAAAAGUGCUUUUGUGAACAUGUCAGCUCUUUUCCAUCAUUACAUGCCAUCGUGGAGUGCAACAGAAGCAAGCUGGCUGUUCGUACCCAUCACCAGUAUUAGUACAAGUUCAGGAGCAAAAUCCAAAUAAGAUAACCUUAAAAUUUCCAUUUGUUUAUUUUAUGCACAUAAGCCACAUUUUUGGUACCAAGGAAUUUUAUAUCUACACUGGAUCUUUCGAGUCUUCCAAUCUAGCCUCUUUAUUUUGGAUCUGGGGAAACUAAGGCACAGAGAGGCUCAGCAACUUGCCCAAAGUCACACAGCUCACAGCUGAGCCUAGAACCCAGGUCUGUGUGACUGCAAAGCCUUUGCUCCUGCUACAAUGCUUCACAGAGAGGAGAUUAUUUACCCCGAUCAUUUGGCCCGUGCCCUGCAGCACCCUCCGCUGGUGCCAUGCUAAUUAGGAGGCAGUUUCACGAAUGUUCUGUAAAAUGUUAAGAUGUGAAGCCAGCUACCAUAUCUCUCCAGAAAUCUUCUCAACUCUGCUUCUAGCAAUCAAUUUAGGUUUCUCCAGACUAAGCAGUUCUGUCACACCUUCCUGUGAUUUGCUUUCUAGUUACCAUCUUCUGGACAUAUUCCUUUGACACAUUCCAGUUUUAUUAAGAUGGGACCCACCCAAAACGGGACUCCUCCAACUUGUUCCUCAUCCUUAUGUUUCCAGUGUCCAUGAGUCCCACUGCCGUCCUUUGUGUGUCCCAGCCCUAAAAACGCAGUCGCUUUGCCUCUCCUUCUCUCCCAACCCCCAGCAUCCACGCAAUUUCUCCCACAGCUUACUCUCUUCUUACUUCUACUACUCAUAUUUUUCCUUGACUGUGGAAAUAGUCCCUUAACUGCUUUUCUUGCCUCAAGUCUCUCCAGAAAUGCUUUCUUAAACUUCAAUUGCUAUGCAAGGUCUAAUUGCUGUUGGUUUGUCUCCCCCAGGACCAAGAAGCCCCCAGUUCUGGAUUCUGGUUCUGCUGUGCGUCUGCCAGCUCUUUGGCUUUAGCCUGCUGCCUGGAAUGUGGAUGUGAUAUCUGGCAUCCUAGCUGCCCUUUCAGACCUGAGGAUAAGGGCAACACCGUAAGGAUGGUGGAGCUGUGAGCCGGAAGAAGCCUUUGUCCCUGAAGACUUCACAAGCAAAUCUACUAUAGCAGCCCCUGGCUACCUACUUCUGUGCUUUUAUACGAGAGAGAGAAACGACUAUCUUAUCUUCCUCAUCGCAGAAAAAGGAUGACUCUACCCUAUGUUGUGGAAUUAAAUGAGAUGAUACAAAUGAAAUGCCUUACCCAGUACCUGGCACAUAGUAAGUACUGAACUGACAGUCACUUCCCUCACCACCAUUCCAACUUCUGCAACACAUUUUUUUUUUUUUUUUUUUGGCUGUGCCGUGCAGCAUGCAGGAUCUUAGUUCCCCAACCAGGGAUCGAACCCGUGCCCCCUGAAGUGGAAGCACGGGGCCCUAACCAUUGGACCACCAGGGAAUUCCCCACAAUUUUAAUUAAAUGGGAAAAGAUUUCUCAGUAUCCUUUAUUUAGCUGUAUGUCUCCCCUACUGGAGUGCAAGCUCUGUGAGAAAAUGGGGCCAGGUCUGUAUUAUUCAUUGCUCCAUCUUUUGCAUAUGGCAGGUGCUCAAUAAAUAUUUUUAGGAUAAAUGAAUAACUGCUAUAUGCACUUAUUUGAUUUUUCAUUUUCACCUUCAAUGAGCUUAAUGUUCUUGUUUCCUUUUUCACAUCGUAUAAAUCAUCGACUUCUAUUUAUUCAGUGUGCACUGUUUUCCUACUGCAAACCAGCCAACGCCUGAGGAAGAAUGGAGGCUGGGCUCCUGGACAAGCCAGGCUGCCGGGCAGUCGGUGAGGUUGCCGGCCACUCUCUCCCCUGGAGAGGAUGAUGCCCACAGAGGCACUGGGGGAGGCAAUCAUCCCACUUUCACCUUCUGGCCCCUAUGGAGCACACAGCUCUCUCACUUACACUCACGGGCUCCUUUCAUUCCCAUAAUAGUCCUAGGAGGGAGAAGUUGUUUUACUGUGUCAGGCAGGGGCCCAGAAGGGGACAGAUUAGCUCACCCAAGCUGGGGAACUGAGGAAUGUUUAAUAAAGGGAUUUUAUAAAAGUUUGAGCAGGGUUUAAGGAACCCUGCAAGGAAUAGUGUAGUCCCUGGGGCUGGUGACAGCUGGAGUCCUUAUCCCUCCUGCGGCAGCCACCCAGGAGGGAGGGAGCUGGAAGAACAAACUCCCUGGCCUCACUCUUCUCCUGCCAGGGCUCCACAGUGGCCAAAGGCAACCGCAACCACGUGGUCCAGAGGGGUGGGCCUUCAGGCCAUGAGCAGGGUGAGAAAAGUCAAGAAUGACUCUGGAAGAGCAAACAGGGCAAGGCCUGACGGUUCAACAGUACCAGGAGGGGGAACCCAGGCAGUCCAGCUGUUAGCUACUGGAGUUUUCCAUGAGGAACCAAGAGACGGUCAUGUCUGCAUGGGAUGAAUGGGUACCGCCCAGAUGGGGAAGGAAGACAGCCCCCUCUUUAUAAACGCAUACACACCCCCAUGCCGCUCUGUGAACUGACAGGAAACCACCUGCUGACGUAACUCCAGCAGUGUGGAAAUGUUGCAGUGAAUUUCCCCCAGCACAAGGCCCCAGCAGCAGUUAAGACCCUAGACUCGGGAAUCAGACUGGCCAGGACGUGAAUCCCAACUCUCUCACCAGCUAUGUGAAUUUGGGCCUCAUCCGUAAAAUGGAAACUGUCAUACCAGCGGGGGUGUUAGGGUUACAGGCAGUGUGCGAUUUGCUUUGCAUUCAUUAAACAUUAGCUAAAAACACUAUCUUGGUAACAGCUAUGGCUUUGCACUAUGAUAGUUUUUUGACCUAAUUUACUUACUCAUUCCAACUUUCAGAAUCCUUUAAGAAUGGAUAUUUCUGUAACUGAGAAGAAGGAUAAUGGUACCACAUAGAGAUUUAUAGUUUUAAACUCCUUUCCCUUAGAUUAUCAAAUGGGAUUGUUACAAAAACCCAGUGAGAAAGUCUACAGAAAUAUUACUCUGCCUCUUUUAAAGAUGGAGAAGCUGACAGCCAAAGAGUCUCAGUGGCUCGUUCAAGGUCACCGAGGCAAUAAACGUGAUGACAUCCCACUGAAAAGGCAACGCCCACUAUGUGGUCUCCUAAAGGCAGAUGGAAGCUGCAGCUCAGAGGGGGCACCUUGUGUGUGCCCAUCACUCUGCAGCCGUCUUUUGGCUGCAUCAUUUAACAAUGUGCGUUUCCCCAAAUUAUAAUUUUGUCCUUUGCUUGCAACAGAGAAUAUCAGAGCCACUUCCUCCCGGUAAACCUGCGAGCAGGGGAGUGGUGAGUGCCCACGGUCAGGUUGGCGGCACCCCACUCACUGCUGUUUAGGCUUCCUCAGUACAGACCACUCCUCCGGCCUCUCCUGGCAGAGAGCAGUGCGUUCACUCCCUCAGCUUCACUAGUGCUUUCUCUGUGGCCAGGGAAGAAAGCAGAGUUUGCCCCCAGGCUUCACUUACUGGAGGUGCAUGCUUUACAAAGAGAAGCCCAUCUCUGAAAGCACAGCAUGCAUUAGCAUCCUCUCCUUCGGAGAGAGCUAUUUUUGUCUUUCGUCUUCAGAGACUGUUCCAAAGUAGGGGAUGCAAGGAUCAGGAGGAGAACCAAAAAAACCCAAGGUCUCCAGCUCAGAAGAGAGCAAAUCACUGUCAUAUCCUCAAACAAUUGCCGCAGCAGUGACGGAGAACAAACUGUGCUGGAGUCGGGCUGCCCUUGGGUACAGGGCAACAUCCAGAAAGAGACAGAUCUCUUUCUGUGGGAUUUCUCUCCGUACACUUCGCCACUUCGCGGAACAAGGUUCGUUGCCAUGGUUACCAGCAAAUCACAUGAUAGCCUCGCUCCCUAGAAGUGUAGGAGAACAGCCGGCUCAGACUGUGAUGGAGAGAGAAGAUGCUUUCCUCCCCAGCAUGUUUGCUUUUCCUGAGCAAACCUACGCAGCACUUUCCCGUUCUGACCUGCCCACUUAGGGGGAUCAGAUUUGACUGAGAUUAAGAAAGAAGAGAAGGGGCUUCCCUGGUGGCAGAGUGGUUGAGAAUCCGCCUGCCAAUGCAGGGGACACGGAUUCGAGCCCUGGUCCGGGAAGA